GUUGCGCUCUUUUAGUGGUAUAAUUACCGCCUGCCACGCGGUAGACCCGGGUUCGAUUCCCGGAC
rnacentral:tRNA from 1 species